rnacentral:rRNA from 1 species
CGCGGCCUAUCAGCUUGUUGGUGAGGUAACGGCUCACCAAGGCGACGACGGGUAGCUGGUCCGAGAGGACGAUCAGCCACACUGGGACUGAGACACGGCCCAGACUCCUACGGGAGGCAGCAGCAGGGAAUAUUGCACAAUGGGCGAAAGCCUGAUGCAGCGACGCCGCGUGAGGGAUGAAGGCCUCCGGGUCGUAAACCUCUUUCAGGAGGGACGAAGCGCAAGUGACGGUACCUCCAGAAGAAGCCCCGGCCAACUACGUGCCAGCAGCCGCGGUAAUACGUAGGGGGCAAGCGUUGUCCGGAUUCAUUGGGCGUAAAGAGCUCGUAGGCGGCUCGGUAAGUCGGCCGUGAAAUCCCGGAGCUCAACUCCGGGAGGCCGGUCGAUACUGCCGUGGCUAGGGUCCGGUAGAGGAGAGUGGAAUUCCCGGUGUAGCGGUGAAAUGCGCAGAUAUCGGGAGGAACACCUGUAGCGAAGGCGGCUCUCUGGGCCGGCACCGACGCUGAGGAGCGAAAGCUAGGGGAGCAAACAGGAUUAGAUACCCUGGUAGUCCUAGCUGUAAACGUUGGGUACUAGGUGUGGCGGAUUGAUUGAUGUCUGCUGUGCCGUAGCAAACGCAUUAAGUACCCCGCCUGGGGAGUACGG